rnacentral:rRNA from 1 species
UACGUAGGUGGCAAGCGUUAUCCGGAAUUAUUAGGCGUAAAGAGCGCGCAGGUGGUUGAUUAAGUCUGAUGUGAAAGCCCACGGCUCAACCGUGGAAGGUCAUUGGAAACUGGGGAACUUGAAUGCAGAAGAGGAGAGUGGAAUUCCAUGUGUAGCGGUGAAAUGCGUAGAUAUAUGGAGGAACACCAGUGGCGAAGGCGACUCUCUGGUCUGUUAUUGACACUGAGGCUCGAAAGCGUGGGGAGCAAACAGGAUUA